GUACCGUGAGGGAAAGAUGAAAAGAACUUUGAAAAGAGAGUUAAACAGUACGUGAAAUUGUUGAAAGGGAAACGAUUGAAGUCAGUCAUACCAACGGGAAAUCAACCUUUUGAGCUCGGUCUCGUGGGUUUUGAAGAGUUUCAAAGCCUUCGGAUUCGCGGGAUUGGGAUCUCUUGGCGUACUUUCUCGUACGGUUAGUCAACAUCGGUUUUGAAUGUCAUAAAAUGACUGGAGGAAUGUGGCUUCGAUCUCGUAUUGAAGUGUUAUAGCCUUUGGUAGAUGUGAUGUUUGAGACCGAGGAUUGCAACGGAUACCCUUCAGGGCUAUUCGUCUGAUCUCUGAUACGUUGCCUUGAUGUUGAAAGCUUGCUUAUGAUGUUAGGGUAUUACGGUCAAAAGGUUAGAACGAAUUACAUUCGUUAAGG
rnacentral:rRNA from 1 species